GUGCUUUCUACAGCAGCACGUAUACCAAAGUUGGAACAACACAAAAAAGAUUGUCAUGGCCCCCACAUAUUUAUAGCAUGCACAUUUGUGAAACACUCCAUAUGUUU
ensembl:snRNA U6 U6 spliceosomal RNA